rnacentral:rRNA from 1 species
UACGAAGGGUGCAAACGUUGCUCGGAAUCAUUGGGCGUAAAGCGCACGUAGGCGGCUUUGCAAGUCGGACGUGAAAUCCCUCAGCUCAACUGAGGAAGUGCAUCCGAAACUGCAAGGCUUGAGUACUGAAGAGGAUCGCGGAAUUCCCGGUGUAGAGGUGAAAUUCGUAGAUAUCGGGAGGAACACCAGUGGCGAAGGCGGCGAUCUGGGCAGAUACUGACGCUGAGGUGCGAAAGCGUGGGGAGCAAACGGG